rnacentral:rRNA from 1 species
GCUUAGAGUUUGAUCCUGGCUCAGGAUGAACGCUAGCGGGAGGCUUAACACAUGCAAGUCGAGGGGCAGCAUAAUGUAGCAAUACGUUGAUGGCGACCGGCGCACGGGUGAGUAACGCGUAUGCAACCUGCCCUUUACCGGGGGAUAGCUCGGAGAAAUCCGGAUUAAUACCCCAUGAUAUUCCGGGGGCGCAUGUUUCCGGGAUUAAAGCUACGGCGGUAAAGGAUGGGCAUGCGUAACAUUAGCUGGUUGGUGAGGUAACGGCUCACCAAGGCGACGAUGUUUAGGGGACCUGAGAGGGUGAUCCCCCACACUGGUACUGAGACACGGACCAGACUCCUACGGGAGGCAGCAGUGAGGAAUAUUGGUCAAUGGGCGCAAGCCUGAACCACCAUCCCGCGUGCAGGAAGAAGGCGCUAUGCGUUGUAAACUGCUUUUGCAGGGGAAGAAAAUACCCGACGUGUCGGGGACUGACAGUACCCUGUGAAUAAGCAUCGGCUAACUCCGUGCCAGCAGCCGCGGUAAUACGGAGGAUGCAGGCGUUAUCCGGAAUUAUUAGGUUUAAAGGGUGCGUAGGCGGGAGGAUAAGUCAGGGGUAAAAUCGCACAGCUCAACUGUGCCACGCCCUUGAUACUGUUUUUCUAGAGUAGAAUCGAGGUAGGCGGAAUGUGCAGUGUAGCGGUGAAAUGCGUAGAUAUUGCACAGAACACCGAUUGCGGAGGCAGCUUACUAGGUUUACACUGACGCUGAGGCACGAAAGCGUGGGGAUCAAACAGGAUUAGAUACCCCGGUAGUCCACGCUGUAAACGAUGAUCACUUGCUGUUGGCGAUAGAUAGUCAGUGGCAAAGGGAAACCGAUAAGUGAUCCACCUGGGGAGUACGACCGCAAGGUUGAAACUCAAAGGAAUUGACGGGGGCCCGCACAAGCGGAGGAACAUGUGGUUUAAUUCGAUGAUACGCGAGGAACCUUACCUGGGUUUGAACGUAUGUUGCAUAGUGUGGAAACAUACUUUUCCGUAAGGACUACAUACGAGGUGCUGCAUGGUUGUCGUCAGCUCGUGCCGUGAGGUGUCGGCUUAAGUGCCAUAACGAGCGCAACCCUCAUUGCCAGUUACCAGCACGUAGAGGUGGGGACUCUGGCGAAACUGCCGGCGUAAGCUGUGAGGAAGGUGGGGAUGACGUCAAAUCAGCACGGCCCUUAUAUCCAGGGCUACACACGUGUUACAAUGGUCGGUACAGAGGGCAGCCACUUGGAGACAAGGAGCUAAUCCCGAAAGCCGAUCUCAGUUCGGAUCGAAGUCUGCAACCCGACUUCGUGAAGGUGGAUUCGCUAGUAAUCGCGCAUCAGCCAUGGCGCGGUGAAUACGUUCCCGGGCCUUGUACACACCGCCCGUCAAGCCAUGGGAGUUUGGGGCGCCUGAAGUCUGUAACCGUAAGGAGCGGCCUAGGGCGAACCAGAUGACUGGGGCUAAGUCGUAACAAGGUAACCAAGCC